AUUGAACGCUGGCGGCAGGCCUAACACAUGCAAGUCGGACGAGUGGCGGACGGGUGAGUAAUGUAUGGGGAACUGCCUGAUGGAGGGGGAUAACUACUGGAAACGGUAGCUAAUACCGCAUACCAUCAGAUGUGCCCAGAUGGGAUUAGCUAGUUGGUGGGGUAACGGCUCACCAGGGCGACGAUCCCUAGCUGGUCUGAGAGGAUGACCAUGCAGCAGGGAACUGAGAAACGGUCCAUACGCCUACGGGAGGCAGCAGUGGGGAAUAUUGCACAAGGGGCGCAAGCCUGAUGCAGCCAUGCCGCGUGUAUGAAGAAGGCCUUCGGGUUGUAAAGUACUUUCAGCCGGGAGGCGUUACCCGCAGAAGAAGCACCGGCUAACUCCGGGCCAGCAGCCGCGGUAAUUC
rnacentral:rRNA from 1 species